rnacentral:rRNA from 1 species
GGAGGAUCCGAGCGUUAUCCGGAUUUAUUGGGUUUAAAGGGAGCGUAGAUGGGUUGUUAAGUCAGUUGUGAAAGUUUGCGGCUCAACCGUAAAAUUGCAAUUGAUACUGGCAGUCUUGAGUACAGUUGAGGUAGGCGGAAUUCGUGGUGUAGCGGUGAAAUGCUUAGAUAUCACGAAGAACUCCGAUUGCGAAGGCAGCUUGCUGGACUGUAACUGACGCUGAUGCUCGAAAGUGUGGGUAUCAAACAGGAUUAGAUACCCUGGUAGUCCACACAGUAAACGAUGAAUACUCGCUGUUUGCGAUAUACAGUAAGCGGCCAAGCGAAAGCGUUAAGUAUUCCACCUGGGGAGU